rfam:Stegodyphus mimosarum contig29956, whole genome shotgun sequence.
GCCUUCGUGGCGUAAUGGUCAGCACACUCGGCGCGUAUUCGAGAGGUCCAAGUUCGAGUCUUGGCGAGAGCA